ensembl:lncRNA
GCGCGAUCGCGGCUCCGCAUGUACAUUAAUUGUGACAAAACAAAACAAACAAAUAACUCACCGUUGAGUCGAGUGUGAGGUAGUGUAAAGAUGAAUGAAUCGGCCGGGUUAUUGCACGCUGUCAACUGGCCUGUAGUGCAAAAUUUGUCGUGAUCUGACAAGUACGCCAACCACAGGGACAACAGCAGCCAGAGGAGCAGGGACAUGCAGCUGAUUGACCCGGAACUUAUACAGGAUUCAUUCCCGCCACAAUAAAGGGACUGGCGGAAGUGGGGUCAGAAGUUACCGUGGUUACACAUGUGAUCACAUAGAAAUUCCAACACAGAGAACACAGGAUAGAAAUAGAUAUUUUUUAACCCUUUCAUGCAGGAAUUAUGACAACCUCAAUCAGGAUUUUUUUUCUUAAGUAUUUUUAUUCAUCUUUAGGCAUGACAAAAAGAUUUCUGAACUAUGUGCAUGCAACAUGUGCAUUUUGAACUUCAUUUUUUUAAACAUGUACUUUUUUUAAACGUGGUUUUUUUUUUUGUUUGUUUGUUUGUUUUUUAAAUGGCAGGGUAUGGAGUGACACAUCAGUGUCCAAUGUAGUGGUUUAAGUGCAAGUAUACCAUCAACACUGACGCAAAUACAAGAAAACAGCCUUUGAAUAGCUGUCAACUGUAGUGACCACUAUGCGUAACAGGGUUAAUCUAGCUAAAUGUUUCUUAGCUGAAAGUUGGACAUCCUGUCAUUUAAAGUUAACAAAUUUAAGGAAAAUCUGAUGAGUGGUAAUACAGACUAUGCUGAAAAUGGUGACACUUAUUUACAUGCAGUAGCAUUGUGAUUAAAAUAUGCAGUCAGCAUUUUGUAGCCCUGAUUUGCAGUUAUUACACAGAAAAUAUCACAAAUGUAUCCAGUUACCUUUUUUUCUUUUAGUAUUGCUGUAACUUUAAAAGAAAUGCUGCGUUGUGCUUUUACUUUGGUAAUCAUGUGCUAAUCAGUAAUACCUCUUCUGCUGUUGUUAAACUGAGUGGAGCGGUAGUAAAUCUAAAGGUCAUAGGGGAUGAUUCAUACACAGUGCUUAACAAAUUUACCACUCAGUGUAAAGUUUAUGCCUUGGUUGCCCUAAAUUA